rnacentral:rRNA from 1 species
CCCUUAGAUGUUCUGGGCCGCACGCGCGCUACACUGACGGAGGCAGCGAGCGUGUCCUUCGCCGGCAGGUGCGGGCAAUCUUGCGAGUCUCCGUCGUGCUGGGGAUAGAUGGUUGCAAUUGUCGAUCUUGAACGAGGAAUUCCUAGUAAGCGCGAGUCAUCAGCUCGCGCUGAUUACGUCCCUGCCCUUUGUACACACCGCCCGUCGCUACUACAGAGUGCCCGUGUCCAAGAAACGGUCGGACCUGUGCGGCCUCUCCGGGCGACCGGAAGGCCGUUACGGGGAAGACCCUUUAUUUGACGCGGGUCGAUGAAGUAAAAGUCGUAACA